UACGUAGGGUGCGAGCGUUAAUCGGAAUUACUGGGCGUAAAGCGUGCGCAGGCGGUGUUGUAAGACCGAUGUGAAAUCCCCGGGCUUAACCUGGGAACUGCAUUGGUGACUGCAUUGCUGGAGUAUGGCAGAGGGGGGUGGAAUUCCACGUGUAGCAGUGAAAUGCGUAGAGAUGUGGAGGAACACCGAUGGCGAAGGCAGCCCCCUGGGCCAAUACUGACGCUCAUGCACGAAAGCGUGGGGAGCAAACAGG
rnacentral:rRNA from 1 species